ACGCGCACCGACUGCGCCCCGAAGUACUUCAGCAAGUCCUCCUUCUCCUCGGCCGUCAGCUCGGCCGGCAGGUGCCUGACGAGGAGGGUGCGGUCUCCCCGGGGCGGGGAGAGCGAAGCGGAGCCUGGGCCUCCUCGCGGCAGCGGCGGCUCGAGCCCCGCCAUCUUCCGCCAAGCCGCAGCCGGAUGAGGGUCGCCCCGCGGGAGCUUCCGUCCAAACAGCAGCGUCCGCGGAGGCUGAGCUGCAGGAAGGUUCCGCCUCGCGCUAAGGAGUCGGGAACCCGAGAAAUACCGCGAGAGUUGGUCGUCUUCUCGCGAGAGUUGCUUCCCAGAGACCUUCGCUUCUCUUCUGGGUCGCCGCCCGGUUGCCGGGAGCCGCGGCUCAAAUUCAAUGAGUCAUUGUCAUCAAACAGGGACGAAAGAGAUGCCAUUAGGAAGCCAGAAGUCUAAUCGAAGAAGAGGAACCUCAGUCAUGUGAAAAGAAAAGGGGCUGCAGGCCCAAGGACCGAGUACUGACGGAACCGUGUACCGGCUGUUGCUCUCUGAGAACUUAAUGCAGGAUAUCAGGAAUCAGUCUGGCUGGCGGAGGGAACUAACUCUGGAGACUCAGACUGUGUUCUAGAAUUUGGAAGUGGUGAAAAACAGUAGCAUUUACAGUGGUCAAGAAUGGAGGCAUGUACCGGUCACUGAUGAAGGAUCAAAGAAAUGUUCUACGUCUACUAUAUGGAAUACUACUAAGCCAUAAAAUUUUUUGAGACAAGGACUCAAUGUUUGUGACCCAGGCUGACUUCAGCCUCACAAUACUUUUAUUUAAACCUUCGCAGUGCCAAGAAUACUAGCAGAUACUACCAGGUACAGCUUUCGAAAGCUGGAGGUCCCAAAGAACAUCUGACAAGAUAUAUUUGGCACUCCAACAUGGAACAGGACUACACAGACAGAGAAGUCACAUCAGAGAGCUUCACCGCAGGUGCCAUCUGGGACUUUCCUGACUGUCAUUUUGGGGAUUGUCAUUAGCAUUCUUCUAAUUUUUGUUCGGCUGCAUGCUUCUUUCUCGUAAUCACCACCUUGCUGAAAACACCGUCAAAGACAGAUGCAGAGGUAUGUUUUGUAAGUGAUUCCAAAUGCAGCAGAGUAAAACAAGAGAGCAUUACGUUACUAUACGAAGAACUCAAGAAAUUGUCAUCAAAAGACCAAAUAGUCAAAACAAAAAAAAUUGGACUACAGACCUAAACAGAGAACUCUCAACAGAGGAAUCUAAAAUGGCUGAAAGACACUUAAGAAACUG